UAGAAGUACUUCCGGGUCGUUGUAUCCUAGAAAGUAGUUCUUUGAAAUUUUGAAGUUCCCAAUUUAACGCUAUCCCUACUUUGACAUGUUAUAUUCCAAAUGUAUUUAUUGAUACUGUGUACAUUUUUUGUCAUUUCUGAUGUCUUUAACAGUUGUUUUAUGUGUGUUUUUCAGGAUUACAUUUCUGUGCGGAAGGAUUAAAAAACUACACCAGACUGGUGGCCAUGACAGAUGUCAGUGGGAAAUUUAAACAUGGACUAGAUGCUUUGAUGUGUAGCAAAAAAGUUCAUCGUUGAUGGUGGUGUUUUUCUAUGAUAUAUUGACUGGGAUAGUAUUACUCUUCAGAAAUACAGAGCUGUCAAUGCUGCAAUUUUGUUGUGAAAUUCACAAUCCAUGUCCAAAAGUGCUUGUUUUACUAUACAGCAAAGGAGGAGAAAUUGUACCGGGCCGACACCUAUAUGGCAAAUUCAGAAAGUGGAAUAUCUCAGCAACCAUAGGGUUUACAGUCAUGAAACUUCACACACUAGUAGCUGAUAACAAUACAAAUCAGUGCCUAAAAGGAUAUUUCCAAGGCGAUGAAUUCCAUAUGUCAGAAGGAAAUUUAGAAUCACACAACCAGUCAGCAGCUACCCAUAAACCAGACCAACCUAUUAAGUCGAGCGGGCAGAAGCUGUGAUUCCCAGUGUGACACCGCAGAAUGACGGCUAGUUUUCGGAUUACAUUUCUGUGCGGAAGGAUUAAAAAACUACACCAGACUGGUGGCCAUGACAGAUGUCAGUGGGAAAUUUAAACAUGGACUAGAUACUUUGAUGUUUAGCAAAAAAGUUCAUCGUUGAUGGUGGUGUUUUUCUGUGAUAUAUUGACUGGGGUAGUAUUACUCUUCAGAAAUACAGAGCUGUCAAUGCUGCAAUUUUGUUGUGAAAUUCACAAUCCAUGUCCAAAAGUGCUUGUUUUACUAUACAGCAAAGAAGGAGAAAUUGUACCGGGCCGACACCAUUGAGUCACAGCUGUUUCUAAUCCCGUACCGUACCCAUACCGUACAUCCGUAUUCGUAAACUAUAGGUUUUGUUCGGAGAAAGGCGGAAACUUUCAUCGUUCUAUGACAUCAAAAUGCUUCAGAAACACCUUAAAAUCCGCUUAUUAAGAAAUCUGCCGUUCGAUAAUUUGAUAUAUCUCUAAGUCAUUUGCUCAAACACUGAAAGAGUAUUUCGUACCAACCUGCGUUGUAUAAAUGCCGCCACACCCCACCUCAUUGUAAUUUGAUUUAAGCGAAAUCUAAUAUGGUGACCUAUCAAUUUUCUUUUUGUUUUAGAUUAGGUAGACAUUACCAAAGGUAUGUGCAGAGUUUGAUUAAAUUCUAUUAUGUGAAACUCGAUAAAAUAGCUGAAGUACCAACUUAAAAUUGACAAAAAUAUGCAACAAUAGCCCUUGGGUCUGCUGAUCAAGUAUUCCU